UACGAAGGGGGCUAGCGUUGUUCGGAAUUACUGGGCGUAAAGCGUGCGCAGGCGGCUUCUCAAGUCAGGGGUGAAAGCCCAGAGCUCAACUCUGGAAUUGCCUUUGAGACUGAGUGGCUUGAGUACGGGAGAGGUGAGUGGAAUUCCCGGUGUAGCAGUGAAAUGCGUAGAUAUCGUGAGGAACACCAGAGGCGAAGGCGGCUACCUGGACAAUUGCUGACGCUCAGGCACGAAAGCGUGGGGAGCAAAAGGG
rnacentral:rRNA from 1 species